rnacentral:misc_RNA from 1 species
CCGCUUGUAAUCCGUCUUGUGGGUAACAGUAUCCAACUGUUCUUCGUGCGUAUAUAUUUCUCUAUCGUCCGUGGAAGCUGUCAUUGGUGGUGUCUUUUGCAGGUGCACACACAGGUAUUAUAAUAAGCACACGCGUACAGGUUCACACCCACAUUCCUCGGCGCAGAAGAAUAGGACGGCCGCGCUGCUGCACAUAACGACCCAUUCAUGCACAUAACGGACAUCUACGCACCCGCAUACACCACGACCACCAUCUAGCCACCUUUUCUUUCAAUUGGAAAACCACAGAGACCGAUAAAUUUUCAGAGCUCUUCGCGUUCUUCCCACUCUUGUUCAACGGUUUAUCUUCGCCACACGACUCCUAUCCCUUCUCUCGCUCACCGACUGCCUCCGCUUGCCGCUGCUUCGCCGGUCUGCGUGUCUUGCUCCAUCUUUGACUUCUGUUGCCACAACACUGUUUCUCAAGACCAGCGUGCUCUCCUUUUCUUUGCAUUUCCCUUGGCUGUAAGUAAAGGCAAGGCCGAGCACGCUGACGUGCGCACGGGACAGAAGGCUGUUGCUCUUCUCUUUGACCUUUUCUUCCGUCGAACUCUCUGCGGAUCUCCCCCCGCUCACACACACACACACCACAGAAAAGGAGAAACAUCACUUUCACCACGCGUGCUGCCACCGCGGCAUUACUAACUGGUACUUGGCAGCCUUCCCUAUCACCGUAUCACUCACUCCUCCUUUCACCUCCUCUCGUCGCUUCUUUUUCUUUUUUGCAAUAUCAACACGCGCACACACGCCACGCACACAUAUAUAUUUGUCCUUUCCGUGUUAUAUACAUCAAG